UCUCCGUACGAGUCCAUAGUAUGUGCGUGGAAGAAAAUCCUCCCUCCCACUGGCUGCCGUGACCGAGCUCCAGGGCGACACUUUCUGUUUCCGUGACUGACUGCCGUGUCCGAAAUAGUCGCGUUAGCUUUCAGCGUUAUCGCGGUCCACUUGCACUCGUUUAUGGUUACAUUUGUGCGAUUUGUGAACCGAAGCUGCUGGCCUUUUGUGGCUGGUCGGCAAGCAGAGCCGCGACGGAGCCAGCUGCUCGGUACAGUAACGUUAGCAAACAAGCUAAUUAGCCACAAAGACUCAUCCUGGAUUACUGUCUUGGCAACAGAACAGCGCUCAGGUUUUUGAGGUUAACGUGCACACGGCAAAAUGAAGAUAACUGUGGAUUUCGAGGAAUGUUUGAAGGACUCCCCACGGUUCAGAGCUACCAUAGAGGAAGUGGAGGGGGACGUAUGUGAACUGGAAUCCAAGCUUGACAAACUGGUGAAGUUGUGCAUCGGGAUGAUAGAUGCUGGGAAAGCUUACAAUGCUGCCAACAAACAGUUUGUCAACGGGAUCCGGGAGCUUGCCCUGCAGUCUACCAAAGAUGAGGUCAUUGAGUCUAGUCUCUCAAAGUUUGCAGAAAGCCUUCAGGAGAUGAUCAACUAUCACACGAUAUUAUUUGAUCAGGCCCAGAGAUCAAUCAAGACCCAGCUUCAAACAUUUGUUAAAGAUGACCUACGUAAGUUUAAAGAAGCCAAGAAGCAAUUUGACAAGGUGAGUGAAGAAAAGGAUGCAGCACUGAUCAAGAAUGCCCAGGCUCCCCGCAACAAGCAGCAUGAAGUGGAAGAGGCUACCAACAUCCUUACUGCCACACGCAAGUGCUUCCGACACAUCGUCCUCGACUACGUUUUGCAGAUUAAUGUGCUACAGUCCAAGAGAAGAUCGGAAAUCCUAAAAUCUAUGCUGUCCUUUAUGUAUGCCCACCUGACCUUUUUCCACCAAGGCUAUGACCUCUUCAGUGAAUUACAGCCGCUAAUGAAACACCUCGGAGGACAGUUGGACCAGCUGGUGGUGGAUGCUGCCAAAGAGAAGCGGGACAUGGAGCAAAAACACUCCACCAUCCAGCAAAAGGCUGCUUUGCAGGACUUCUCAAAUGACGACACCAAGUUGGAAUACAAUGUGGAUGCAGAUAAUGGCAUCGCCAUGGAGGGUUAUCUUUUUAAGAGGGCCAGCAAUGCCUUCAAGACAUGGAAUAGACGGUGGUUCUCCAUCCAAAAUAAUCAGCUCGUUUACCAGAAGAAAUUAAAGGACAACCUGACAGUUGUUGUGGAAGACCUGAGACUGUGCACUGUCAAGCACUGUGAAGAUUUAGAGCGACGUUUUUGUUUCGAGGUGGUGUCACCCACCAAGAGCUGCAUGAUGCAAGCAGAUUCUGAGAAGCUGCGACAGGCGUGGAUCAAAGCAGUCCAGAACAGCAUCGCCACUGCCUUCCGUGACAAGGGAGAUGACGCUGAGAAGCUGGAGAGGAAGUCUUCCACAUCAACAGGGAGCUUAGACUCUGGUGGGGAGCCCAAGGAGAGAUCACUGAAGGGGGAGAGUGCCCUGCAGAAAGUCAUCGCCAUCCCGGGCAACGCUUGUUGCUGUGACUGCGGCCAGCCAGAUCCACGCUGGGCCAGCAUCAAUCUCGGCAUAACUCUUUGUAUCCAGUGCUCUGGAAUUCACAGGAGUCUGGGAGUUCAUUUCUCAAAGGUCCGGUCCCUGACUUUAGAUUCAUGGGAGCCAGAACUACUUAAGCUUAUGUGUGAACUUGGAAAUGGAGUUAUUAACCAGAUAUAUGAGGCUCGGCGAGAGGAGCUGGGAGCGAGAAAACCACAGCCAGGAGACCCAAGACAUGAAGUAGAGGCUUACAUCAAAGCCAAGUACGUGGAUCGCAGGUUUGUGCGCAGGCCAUCUGACGAGGAGCUUCGGAGCAAGGUGGUGUCCCUCAGUAAACAGGAGAAGAGACUUAGCAACAGCUCCGAGCACCUUCCUCCAAGACCACCACCGCCCACCCCAAAACUUCGACCUGGUUCCAACACCUCUGGACAGUCAGUCAAAAGUGCAGACAGUGGCAUCCAGCACAGCGCUGAUGGCAGCAGGGAAAUGCUGGUCACCACCCCCUCUAAUAGUAGUUUGGCAGAGGCAGAUAUUGCUGAGACUCCGCCCAUGCCAACCACCCUGCCUCCACCAUCGCCUUGUAAGGAGAUGGUGUUCUACGAGCCCAAGGAGUACAGUUCAGGCCUUCAGCUCUACUGGGCUUCAUGUGCUCGCAGCCUGCCUGACAUGGCUGAGGCCUUGGCCCACGGAGCCCAAGUCAACUGGGUCAACACGGAAGAUGAUAAGAGGACGCCACUCAUCAUGGCCGUGCGGGGGGGUUCACUGGUGACCUGCGAGUUUCUGCUCCAAAAUGCAGCCAAUGUGAAUCAGCAGGAUGCUCAAGGUCGAGGACCUCUGCACCAUGCCACCAUGCUGGGACGCACAGGGCAAGUGUGUUUAUUUUUGAAAAGAGGAGCCAAUCAAAAUGCUGCAGACAUUGAGGAAAAAACACCGCUUGCCAUCGCGGUGGAAGCAGCCAAUGCAGACAUUGUUACAUUGCUGCGACUGGCCAAGAUGAACGAGGAGAUGCGCGAGGCCGAGGGGCCCUACAGCCAGUCAGGUCAAUAUAACGCGAACAGCCCCACUGAGAUGCAGUACAGAAAGUGUAUGCAGGAGUUUAUCAGUCUGCAGCUGGAUGACACUUAAUGGCCUGUACAUUGGUGUCACAUAAACAGACUCUGCGGAAAAAUACAGGGGCCUGUUUUCUGGUUAUCAUAAAUUACUGGAAUCUUUUCCAGGUGCUUCUUACAAAUUGGAAGAGUCUUUCUUUUUAAGGCACUUGCAGUUCAGUGGAAAAUGAUCUGAUGUCAGCGACCAGCAGCACCCUGGCAUGCUACAAUGUUGGGUGGAGUGCUAACGUGACUGCAGUAUUCAGUUUCCAGAUAGAAAAGUCAACAUUGUGCUAAAAUAUUUACUGAUGACACACAAUGAAAAGCUGCUUGAGAACAUUAGAUAGAUGCUGCAUCCUCCCUUUAAAUUCAGAGACCCCACUUGCUGAUUUCUAUUGGUUGAACACAAUAGGGGUUGAAAUACAGUACAGUAUUAAAUUACAUUUGCUGCUAAGUCUCGACCACAAUAUUGGAAAUUCUCAACUCAGUGUGAGGGCAAAUUAUCCUUGUUUGGGAAUGCAUAUUUCUUUCAAAUAAAUGUCAGGUUCAGGGGUGUCAAACUUUGUCGCGGGUUAUCACGGUUUUCCUCAGAGGGCCGUUGUGAACCCAUAUAAACGCCUCUUUGUACUAUUACAUAUACACAACAAAUUGAUAGAUAACUACUUUUUUAACAAGUUGUAAAUCAGAAGUCAAGGACAAGACUUCAAGUUACUGGUUAAAGGUGUUUGGUAACAAAAAACUGCUUGCAAUAUCUCAAUGUUUUUAUUUAUUGUAUAUGAUAAUUUGAUUUUAGCAAGAAUCAUGGACGUUGAUGCACAUGCUUUGCUUUUGGGCAAGAUAAACUUAUGUGAUGGGCCGGAUGUGGCCGCUGGGACGUGAGUUUGACACCUGUGACGCCUAGUUUAUUGUGUAAUUAUACUAUUUACUAGGAUGUUAUUUUUUUGCCAAGUGUGAAUUUACCCAAUUUUCUGUUGGUGUUAGUUAGUGUCAGUGAAUUGUCUCUCUUAAACUUUCAGUGCCACUUUGUUGUUGAAUGUUUAAACACGAAACAUCUUGCUGUUAUGAUGUUGUUUUGCAACAAUCUUGAGGUAUUAUUUUGUUCUCAGAGAAUUCUGUAGUGCAUUGGCUUAAAAUACAAAAUACAAAAAUCUUUUAUGCACGGGACUGGACAGAAAGAAAAGCCGAUUUGACUGAAGUUUCACCGAUAAUUAACGAUGUUAUGACAGUGUCAAAAGCCUGGAGGAUUUGUGUAUCGUAAUCCAAUGUUAUGGCAGGAAAUCCAGAAUUGUAAGAAAUGACCGAUGGUCGUGAAUGUUUUUGGGUUCUUAAUGCAAAUCGGCAUAGUACAUGCUCUGGCAAUAGUCUCGAUAAUUAGCUUUUGAUGUUGAAAAGAUGGUGGCAUUAGAAGAGGAGGCUGUCAUAUUGUGUAGCUAGUGACUGAGUUCUGAAAACAGCACAUUUUCAACUCGUGUUCCUGCAGCCCCAAAUAUUUGGACAGUGCACAAGCACUUUGAUUAAAGGAGCAGUGUGUAGGACGAUGUAGUGGCCCUCAGUCACUCCCACAUGGGCUUACAUUUCUCGAAACCCUUUUUCUCAAAACAACACAAAUGUGUGAACACUCAGUUAACCCUCACAAUCUUUUAAAUGUACUUGCAGGGGGUUCUCGGUUGACGACGGUCUCGUCGACGUACAUGGUUUCGAGAGUUACAGACGGCGUGUAAGAAUACGUCGUCGCUCAGCACAAGAAGGCAGCCUCAGAGUUAUUGAUUUGUAUUCAUUUCUAGAGCGCCUGCCCUUAUAAGGGUCCCAGCUGAUUUUGGGCAAAAAGGCAGACUACAUAACAAAUAUAUGCGGCAAUUAGGAUUUUAUUACUGUGUUUGUAACAGACUACGGCGUGUUCUGACCCACAAAAGUUAUGUCGCCACCGUAUGAAUGGAACUGUCGUAAAUCUAGUGUCCCCCCCCCCCCCAGACAUACACACUGGCCCUUAAAAUGAUUAUUACGCUGCAGCGCCCUCUGGUGCGUCGUAGGGAACUGCUGGACUGUUAAAUGCCACUUGGCACACUGCUUUUUUUCCCUCAAGAACCAAUCAUGUCACUUUUGGAAUAAUGAGUGUUUGGACCUAUGCCAAGAAGCGUUUUCUUGAUGUGGGCUGUUAAAAGGGGGAUGAAACCGAUGAUUGCUGACUGUGGAUGCGUGCACGCCUCAAGAGCAUUCGGCAAUCAUGGAGAGAUGAACACAAACAAGUGAUUUGAUGCCAACAUCAUCAUUUUCAUAUUUGCUCUUCAGUCGGCGAGGGCCUCUUCAUCAGUCAGCCAAUCAGAUGAUGAAUGACGCCUCUGAUGCACGACAAGCCACCUCAUCGCUUCAUUUUUUUUUAAUUUUUUUUUUCAAUUACGCUUACAAUCAACAAAUUGGAACCUGAUGAAGUGCAGUCUGAUUACAACUGCACAAAUUGUCGCUUUUUAAAAAGAUAUUUUUUAUGAGUGGCGAAUUGAGAGCUUUGGGUUGUUUCAGCUGGUGUAAAUUCCCACUUGAGAGUUUGUGCCUUUCUUGUUUGCUUCUUUCUUGACCCAUCUGUAUUUGUUGUUUAUACAAGGCUGCACUUUAAACACAAUACAGUUGCUAACAACAAGCUAACUUCUUGUGUGCGCGUGAGUGUCUUCUUGCUUCUUCUGCUCCAUCUUUUUGUCUCUCUGGACCUCGUUUCUCUUUCAUAUGUCCAGCCACGCCGGGGCUCUGACAGGAGAUGAAACCUACCAGGACAUUUUCCAGGACUUCACCCACAUGGCCUCCAACGACCCGGACAAGCUGAAUCGCUACAAGCAGUACGAC